CCCCAGAUGUUGCUAGACUACAACUCCCAUGAGUCUUUGAAUUACAUAGACUGCUAGAGAAUCAUGGGAGUUGUAGUUUAGCAACAUCUGGGG
rnacentral:miRNA from 1 species